rnacentral:lncRNA from 10 species
AACCUUUGCUGUCUUGGGACGGAUCACCGCUGCAAGAGGGGAAGUUGCUACUGUGAUGAAUUCUGCCAUGUGGCACCAGACUGCCACCCAGACCACAGUGUCCUCUGCAACCCUGCUUCUCAGAUGACCAAGAUGGUGCUGCAGAUGGUGCUGAGGAUGGAGAACCCACCAAGCCCCGCUAGGAGCCACCUAGACUGGAUGCAGAGCAUGUUUCGCUCUUGUUGCCCAGGUUGGAGUGUAGUGCUGCGAUCUCAGAUCACCACAACCUCCGCCUCCCAGGUUCAGGCGAUUCUCCUGCCUCAGCCUCCUGAGUAGCUGGGAUUACAGGCACGCACCACCAUGCCCGGCUCAUUUUGUGUUUUUAGUAAAGACGGGAUUUCUCCAUGUUGGUCAGGCUGGUCUCAAACUCCCGAUCUCAGGUGAAAAUGGAGGUUUCCUCCUCCUGCGGCUGAGUGUGGCUUCCCCGGAAGACCUCACUGACCCCAGAGUGGCAGAAAGGCUGAUGCAGCAGCUCCACCGGGAACUCCACGCCCACGCGCCUCACUUCCAGGUCUCCUUACUGCGUGUCAGGAGAGGCUAACGGACAUCAGCUGCAGCCAGGCAUGUCCCGUAUGCCAAAAGAGGGUGCUGCCCCUAGCCUGGGCCCCCACCGACAGACUGCAGCUGCGUUACUGUGCUGAGAGGUACCCAGAAGGUUCCCAUGAAGGGCAGCAUGUCCAAGCCCCUGACCCCAGAUGUGG